CCUACGGGGGGCAGCAGUAGGGAAUAUUGCUCAAUGGGGGAAACCCUGAAGCAGCAACGCCGCGUGGAGGAUGAAGGUUUUCGGAUUGUAAACUCCUUUUGUUAGAGAAGAUAAUGACGGUAUCUAACGAAUAAGCACCGGCUAACUCCGUACCAGCAGCCGCGGUAAUACGGAGGGUGCAAGCGUUACUCGGAAUCACUGGGCGGCAAGAGCGCGUAGGCGGGAUAGCAAGGCAGGUGUUAAAACCUAUGGAUUAAACAUAGAUGUGAAGUGUAAACUGUUAUUGUAGAGUAGGGGAGAGAGAGGAGGAAGACUGGGUGGAGGGGGAGAAUGCAUAGAUAGCAAGAGGAAUGCUGAGUGAGAAGGCGA
rnacentral:rRNA from 1 species